rnacentral:rRNA from 1 species
AUUGAACGCUGGCGGCAUGCCUUACACAUGCAAGUCGAACGGCAGCACGGACUUCGGUCUGGUGGCGAGUGGCGCACGGGUGAGUAAUGUAUCGGAACGUACCUUUCAGUGGGGGGUAACGUAGCGAAAGUUACGCUAAUACCGCAUAUUCUGUGAGCAGGAAAGCAGGGGAUCGAAAGACCUUGCGCUGAUUGAGCGGCCGAUAUCAGACUAGCUAGUUGGUGGGGUAAAGGCCUACCAAGGCGACGAUCUGUAGCGGGGCUGAUGGGAGGAUGCGCCACACUGGAGGUGAGACACGGCCCAGACUCCUACGGGAGGCAGCGGUGGGUAAUUUAGGAAAAAGGGGGGAACCCUGAACCAGCCAUGCAGGGUGAGUGAAGAAGGCCUGCGGGUGGGAAAGCGCUCUCGGCCGGGAAGAAAGCGCAUAGGCGAAUACCCUGUGUGGAUGACGGUACCGGAAUAGGAAGCACCGGCUAACUACGU